rnacentral:lncRNA from 1 species
ACUUGGAAGCACCUUCUCUGUUUCUCAGGUGGUGAAAAGAGGUACCAAACACCAUGGAAAAUCUGUGUUUUCCUCUUUGGCUUUCUAUGCUAGCAAAGCUCCAACUAAUUUCUGAUCUGUGAAGACAACAGUAGAUGAAGAACAAAAGUGAAGGAUACUUCUGCAGCGCUGAGAGUUGGAUACUCCACAGGAAUCAGAGACAAUUGGGUUAGAAUCCAGGAGAGUGGUUCAAGUGGAACAAGAAAAAUAGCCUCAGAAAUGAUGGGAUGAACCCAGGAAAUGGUUCAGAAAAUGCCAAGACUGUGAGGGCAACCAAGGCAGAAGAGCAGGAACUCGGUUAGAGCUGUAUCAGCCAAGUGGGCCCACCAAACAAGACGCUGCUCCCUGGGAAUAUUCUUCCUGCACCCCCAUGUGGAGCUUGCUCUGCAGCAGCAGCCUUUCACCAUCCUUACAACUGAUACGAGUGCUUGAGUGAAAUGAAGUGAUCACAAAAUAAUAAGGAACAUGGCAAUUACCAGCAGAACUCAUUUGUUAUCUGUUGUCAAGCCUCAGCAGUGGAGGAAACAGUCAUCUGGGCGCCCUAAUGAAAUGUGACAGACAUUCAGAGAGCGAGG